rnacentral:rRNA from 1 species
GAUGAACGCUGGCGGCGUGCCUAAUACAUGCAAGUCGAGCGAACAGACGAGGAGCUUGCUCCUCUGACGUUAGCGGCGGACGGGUGAGUAACACGUGGAUAACCUACCUAUAAGACUGGGAUAACUUCGGGAAACCGGAGCUAAUGCCGGAUAAUAUAUUGAACCGCAUGGUUCAAUAGUGAAAGACGGUUUUGCUGUCACUUAUAGAUGGAUCCGCGCCGCAUUAGCUAGUUGGUAAGGUAACGGCGUACCAAGGCAACGAUGCGUAGCCGACCUGAGAGGGUGAUCGGCCACACUGGAACUGAGACACGGUCCAGACGCCUACGGGAGGCAGCAGUAGGGAAUCUUCCGCAAAGGGCGAAAGCUUGACGGAGCAACGCCGCGUGAGUGAUGAAGGUCUUCGGAUCGUAAAACUCUGUUAUUGGGGAAGAACAAAUGUGUAAGUAACUAUGCACGUCUUGACGGUACCUGAUCAGAAAGCCACGGCUAACUACGUG